rnacentral:misc_RNA from 1 species
GUGAGUCAUCGAAUCUUUGAACGCACAUUGCGCCCCGUGGUAUUCCGCGGGGCAUGCCUGUUCGAGCGUCAGUACAACACUCAAGCUCUGCUUGGUCUUGGGCCGCGUCAGUCUGACCGGCCUUAAAAUCAGUGGCGGUGCCAUCGUGCUCUAAGCGUAGUAAUACUCCUCGCUACAGGGUCUCGGUGCGUGCUAGCCAGCAACCCUCAACUUUCUAAGUUUGACCUCGGAUCAGGUAGGGAUACCCGCUGAACUUAAGCAUAUCAAUAAGCGGAGGA